CGAUUUCCGUCCUUUUUCUAGAUUGAAAAAUCAAAAUCUUCCUUGUCAAAAUGAUUGCUUUGUAUAUGGUGGUAUUGUGUCUGAUCCAGUUUGCAGUGCUGACCGGCUGUUGCUCUGUGAAGAAGAUUAACCUGACUGUAGAUAAUGCCUCUAUUCUGUGUACAACCAAUCGGUCUUGCGAUGCUGAGUGCUACCGUGGUUUCAUAUUUUCAAGUGGUAAAACAAAACAAUCUUACAGUUGUCUGAAUGGAGUAUGGUCACCUGUGUUAUCAACAUGCAAGCGUAUACCUGUAAUUUAUGUCACGUAUUCAGUAAUAUGGAAAAUAAACAACGUCGUUCCGUCAAACUGUGCCAAUGUAUCGAAACGAC